CGAUUUAUAGUCAUUUAAAAAUUCAAGAUGUUGACUUACGGUCCCUGGAAAAUAGCCGAAGAAUGUCAAAUACUGCUAAAUAUGUGUAUUUUUGGAUCCAGGAAAUCGACCCUAGUUGCCACUUUGAAUCUUUUUAGGGCCACCGCAUUAUUUUGAGAGAGUUAUGUUAUUAGUGUCGGAUAAAAAUUAUGAACAUUGAUGAUGAUAUAAGAAAGCCCAUACUUUCCCAAGAAUUAUUGGGGAACCCGCAUAAUCAAAAACUAUUGCUGAAGCGUAUCCCCAAAUAGGAUAGUGAGCACUGUUUGUCCACCACACCUUCAACGGUUGAAGCUCUAUCGAAAAACGAAGAGAUAUCUUCCAGUAAACGCUGUAGUCGCACGUGUAUGUCAAACUAUAAUGAAAAUAUCUUCAAGCAAAACGAUGUUGAAGUCCACAUUGCACGACGACGAAUGCAAAACAGCGCCCCUCGCAGCCUGGAAGAAU